GAUGAGAGUGGCGCACGGGUGCGUAACGCGUGAGCAACCUACCCAUAUCAGGGGGAUAGCCUCUCGAAAGAGAGAUUAACACCGCAUAACAUCAUUUACCGGCAUCGGUUAAUGAUCAAAUAUUUAUAGGAUAUGGAUGGGCUCGCGUGACAUUAGCUAGUUGGAGGGGUAACGGCCCACCAAGGCUACGAUGUCUAGGGGCUCUGAGAGGAGAAUCCCCCACACUGGUACUGAGACACGGACCAGACUCCUACGGGAGGCAGCAGUAAGGAAUAUUGGUCAAUGGAGGGAACUCUGAACCAGCCAUGCCGCGUGCAGGAUGACUGCCCUAUGGGUUGUAAACUGCUUUUGUCAGGGAAUAAACCUUUCUACGUGUAGGAAGCUGAAUGUACCUGAAGAAUAAGGAUCGGCUAACUCCGUGCCAGCAGCCGCGGUAAUACGGAGGAUCCAAGCGUUAUCCGGAUUUAUUGGGUUUAAAGGGUGCGUAGGCGGUCCUAUAAGUCAGUGGUGAAAGACGGCAGCUUAACUGUCGCAGUGCCUUUGAUACUGUAGGACUUGAAUCUAUUUGAAGUGGGCGGAAUAAGACAAGUAGCGGUGAAAUGCAUAGAUAUGUCUUAGAACUCCGAUUGCGAAGGCAGCUCACUAAGUUAGUAUUGACGCUGAUGCACGAAAGCGUGGGGAUCAAACAGGAUUAGAUACCCUGGUAGUCCACGCCCUAAACGAUGAUAACUCGAUGUUUGCGAUACACAGUAAGCGUCCAAGCGAAAGCGUUAAGUUAUCCACCUGGGGAGUACGGUCGCAAGAUUGAAACUCAAAGGAAUUGACGGGGGCCCGCACAAGCGGAGGAGCAUGUGGUUUAAUUCGAUGAUACGCGAGGAACCUUACCCGGGCUUGAAAGUUAGUGAAUGAUCCAGAGACGGAUCAGUCCUUCGGGACACGAAACUAGGUGCUGCAUGGCUGUCGUCAGCUCGUGCCGUGAGGUGUUGGGUUAAGUCCCGCAACGAGCGCAACCCCUAUGUUUAGUUGCCAGCACGUCAUGAUGGGGACUCUAAACAGACUGCCAGCGUAAGCUGUGAGGAAGGUGGGGACGACGUCAAGUCAUCAUGGCCCUUACGUCCGGGGCUACACACGUGCUACAAUGGAUGGUACAGCGGGCAGCUACAUAGCAAUAUGAUGCUAAUCUCUAAAAGCCAUUCACAGUUCGGAUUGAGGUCUGCAACUCGACCUCAUGAAGUUGGAUUCGCUAGUAAUCGCGUAUCAGCAAUGACGCGGUGAAUACGUUCCCGGGCCUUGUACACACCGCCCGUCAAGCCAUGAAAGUUGGGGGUACCUAAAGCAUGUAACCGCAAGGAGCGUGUUAGGGUAUC
rnacentral:rRNA from 1 species